GACGAACGCUGGCGGCGUGCUUAACACAUGCAAGUCGAACGGAAAGGCCCUGCUUUUGUGGGGUGCUCGAGUGGAGAACGGGUGAGUAACACGUGAGUAACCUGCCCUUGACUUUGGGAUAACUUCAGGAAACUGGGGCUAAUACCGGAUAGGAGCUACUGCUGCAGGGUGGGGGUUGGAAAGUUUCGGCGGUUGGGGAUGGAAUAGCGGCUUAUCAGCUUGUUGGUGGGGUAGUGGCUUACCAAGGCUUUGACGGGUAGCCGGCCUGAGAGGGUGACCGGCCACACUACACCUGGAAUGCGACCCAGACUCGUCCCGUAGGCAGCAGUGGGGUAUAUUGCACUAUGGGCUGAACCAAGAUGUAGUCCCGCCGCGUGGGGUAUGACGGCCUUCGGUUUGUAUUCCACUGUCGCCUUAGCCGAAGCGUUAGUGACAGUACUGGGUAAAUAAGCACCGGCUAACUACGUG
rnacentral:rRNA from 1 species